UACGAAGGGGGCUAGCGUUGCUCGGAAUUACUGGGCGUAAAGCGCACGUAGGCGGAUCUUUAAGUCAGGGGUGAAAUCCCAGAGCUCAACUCUGGAACUGCCUUUGAUACUGGCAAGCUCGAGUCCGGAAGAGGUAAGUGGAACUCCUAGUGUAGAGGUGGAAUUCGUAGAUAUUAGGAAGAACACCAGUGGCGAAGGCGGCUUACUGGUCCGGAACUGACGCUGAGGUGCGAAAGCGUGGGGAUCAAACAGG
rnacentral:rRNA from 1 species